GAUGAAGAACGUAGCAAAAUGCGAUAAGUAAUGUGAAUUGCAGAAUUCAGUGAAUCAUCGAAUCUUUGAACGCACAUUGCGCCCGCCAGUAUUCUGGCGGGCAUGCCUGUUCGAGCGUCAUUUCAACCCUCAAGCACAGCUUGGUGUUGGGACUCGCGUUAAUUCGCGUUCCCCAAAUUGAUUGGCGGUCACGUCGAGCUUCCAUAGCGUAGUAGUAAAACCCUCGAUACUGGUAAUCGUCGCGGCCACGCCGUUAAACCCCAACUUCUGAAUGUUGACCUCGGAUCAGGUAGGAAUACCCGCUGAACUUAAGCAUAUCAAUAAGCGGAGGA
rnacentral:misc_RNA from 1 species